rnacentral:tRNA from 2 species
GCCGCUUUAGCUCAGUCGGUAGAGCGUCUCACUCGUAAUGAGAAGGUCUGGGGUUCGAUUCCCCAAAGCGGCUCCA